GAGACUAUAAGGAGAUAUGGCAAGGGGUACUGCGAGAGGAGCAGAGAGAAGGCCAGGGAAGUAAGAAAGACAGGGAAAAGAAAGAUAUGUAAAAGUAGGAAAAGGAUAAAGGAAAAAUAAAGAAGCAAACGCUAGGGUCAAGUUGUCUCAAGCCCCUCAUUUCAAGCCUCAGCCCUUCUCUUUUCGUGCCUCCGAAUCCCGCGGGUCGGGACAUUAAAGGAGUCAGACAAUAGGAUAGAAGCACUUCCAGAAUGACAAAGAUCUCUGAAAAUCUACUCCUCCAUAAAAGUAACAAGAACACUGGCAAAAGUUGUCGAAAUCAACUUUUUCAGAACUCUGAAAAGUAAUCAAAGGCUUGCUAAACUUCAAGGAAGAUUUAUCCAAGGAAAACAGCUGAAUCUAAGAAGAAUCUAGGGCAAAGUGUGAAUGCAGUCCUCCACUUCUACAAAUUAUGCAUUCAAUUUUCCCACAUUUGGGGAAAUCACAGAGGUCAGCACAUCCAGAGUACAACGGCUGAGCCUCAC